CGAGUUUGAUCCUGGCUCAGAACGUACGCUGGCGGCACGCCUAACACAUGCAAGUCGAACGCAGUAGCAAUACUGAGUGGCAAACGGGUGAGUAUAAUGUGGGAAUCUGCCUUUUGGUUUGGAAUAACACGGGGAAACUUGUGCUAAUACCGAAUAAGCCCUUACGGGGAAAGUUUUAAUGCCGAAAGAUGAGCCCGCACUUGAUUAGCUAGUUGGUAAGGUAAAAGCUUACCAAGGCAACGAUCAAUAGCUGUUCUUAGAGGAAGACCAGCCACAUUGGGACUGAGACACGGCCCAGACUCCUACGGGAGGCAGCAGUGGGGAAUCUUGCACAAUGGGGGAAACCCUGAUGCAGCGAUGCCGCGUGAGUGAAGAAGGCCUUUGGGUUGUAAAACUCUUUCGUCGGGGAAGAAAAUGACUGUACCCGAAUAAGAAGGUCCGGCUAACUUCGUGCCAGCAGCCGCGGUAAUACGAAGGGACCUAGCGUAGUUCGGAAUUACUGGGCUUAAAGAGCUCGUAGGUGGUUAAAAAAGUUGAUGGCGAAAUCCCAAGGCUCAACCUCGGAACUGCCAUCAAAAC
rnacentral:rRNA from 1 species